rnacentral:lncRNA from 1 species
CCUUAUAUAAAUAGAGCUCAAAAUAUGGUCCCCACACCAGCAGCAGCAGCAUCACCUAGGAACUUGUUUGAAAAGCAAGUUGUGUUUUCAGCCUUCCUCAGACUUGCUGAAUCAGACACACUGGGAGUGGAGCCCAACGUUCUGUGCUUUAACAGUAUGAGCAGUUGCUAUUUCCACAAAUUAGAAGGAAGAAACCAUGAGCAUGCCCACUCUGGGGAUUAUAUACUUUUAACAUUGAAGAAACUAUGCACUUGGGCAGGAAUACAAACAUAUGGAGCCAACUAAUGAAAACUGCCCUUGUCUACCUCACAUGGAACACCUGAACAGCAGUGGACAAUUUAGGAAAAAAAAAAAUACAGACAUAAA